ensembl:lncRNA
AUGUUGGUGUUGGUGUGUGUGUGUGUGUGUGUGUGUGUGUGUGUGUGUGUGUGUGUGUGUGAGCGGUGAGUUAAUGUUGGUGUUGAUGUCUGUGUGUGUGUGUGUGAGCAGUGAGUUUAUGUUGGUGUUGAUGUGUGUGUGUGUGUGUGAGCGGUGAGUUUAUGUUGGUGUUGAUGUCUGUGUGUGUGUGAGCAGUGAGUUUAUGUCGGUGUUGAUGUGUGUGUGUGUGUGUGAGCGGUGAGUUUAUGUUGGUGUUGAUGUCUGUGUGUGUGUGAGCAGUGAGUUUAUGUUGGUGUUGAUGUGUGUGUGUGUGUGUGUGUGAGCGGUGGGUUUAUGUUGGUGUUGAUGUGUGUGUGUGAGCAGUGAGUUUAUGUUGGUGUUGAUGUCUGUGUGUGUGUGAGCGGUGAGUUAAUGUUGGUGUUGAUGUGUGUGUGUGUGUGAGCAGUGAGUUUAUGUUGGUGUGUGUGUGUGUGUGUGUGUGAGCAGUGAGUUUAUGUUGGUGUUGAUGUGUGUGUGUGUGUGUGAGCAGUGAGUUAAUGUUGGUGUUGAUGUGUGUGUGUGUGUGUGUGAGCGGUGAGUUUAUGUUGGUGUUGGUGUGUGUGUGUGUGUGUGUGUGAGGGGUGAGUUUCGUGGUGUUGAUGUGUGUGUGUGUGUGAGCAGUGAGUUAAUGUUGGUGUUGAUGUGUGUGUGUGUGUGAGCGGUGAGUUUAUGUUGGUGUUGAUGUGUGUGUGUGUGUUGAGUUUAUGUUGGUGUUGAUGUGUGUGUGUGUGUGAGCAGUGAGUUUAUGUUGGUGUUGAUGUGUGUGUGUGUGAGCAGUGAGUUAAUGUUGGUGUUGAUGUGUGUGUGUGUGUGAGCGGUGAGUUUAUGUUGGUGUUGAUGUGUGUGUGUGUGUGAGCGGUGAGUUUAUGUUGGUGUUGAUGUGUGUGUGUGUGUGAGCCGUGAGCGCUGAGUUUAUGUUGGUGUUGAUGUGUGUGUGUGUGUGUGAGCGGUGAGUUAAUGUUGGUGUUGAUGUGUGUGUGUGUGUGUGUGUGUGUGUGUGAGCAGUGAGUUUAUGUUGGUGUGUGUGUGUGUGUGUGAGCGGUGAGUUUAUGUUGGUGUUGAUGUGUGUGUGUGUGUGAGCAGUGAGUUAAUGUUGGUGUUGAUGUCUGUGUGUGUGUGAGCGGUGAGUUUAUGUUGGUGUUGAUGUGUGUGUGUGUGUGUGUGAGCGGUGAGUUAAUGUUGGUGUUGAUGUGUGUGUGUGUGUGUGAGCAGUGAGUUUAUGUUGGUGUUGAUGUGUGUGUGUGUGUGUGAGCGCUUCUUCCUCUGUUCACUGCAAGUUUAUGGGCAGGGUCAGGCUGGGCUGCCUCUCUGGCAGGCAGGCUGUGUGUGUGUGUGUGUAGGUGAGUGUUUGAGUGUGUGUGUGUGUGUGUGCAUUUGUGUGUAUUUUUACGUGUGUGGGUGUUAAUGUUUGUGUGUAUUUGCUAAUGUGUCUGUGUAUGUGUUUUUGUGUGUGUAUUUGCUAAUGUUUGUGUGUAUGUGUUUUUGUGUGUGUAUUUGCUAAUGUUUGUGUGCGUGUGUGUGUGUGUGUGUGUGGGGGGGGUGUAUUAGCUAAUGUGUGUGUGUGUGUGUGUGUGUUUUUGCUAAUGUGUGUGUGUGUGUGUUUUUGUGUGUGUAUUUGCUAAUGUUUGUGUGUGUGUGUUUUUGUGUUUGUAUUUGCUAAUGUGUGUGUGUGUGUGUUUUUUUUGUUGUUGUGUAUUUGGUAACGUGUGUGUGUGUGUGUGUGU